CUUUUCUCUUGUUGAGUGCAAAUGGAGAACAGCUGCUCACGCUCGUCGUCUGACAUCAGCUAUUUCUCAGGAUGACCCUGCGAGACAGGCCAGGGUCAUUAGACCCAAUUUGGUUCUCAGCAAAUAUGUGUUUAUUCCUGCAUGCGUGGGCCACAGGCUGGUUUCUUGGGUGCAAUGAAUAGCUGCAGGUUUAUUAGGGUGUCUUUUUAGAUGGAUGUAUGUUUCCCGAUGUCUAUAGAACACUCCGGACCCCGGAGAGUGAAGACUCUGCCUGUCGGACUUGCUUUGAGAAGAUCCUUCUCCACCUCCCCAUGGCAGAAGUUGCUUCACAGAGGGGAACAGUUUUAUGGAUGUGGCUGAGACCUUAAACUUGAGGCAACCCAUCUGAGGUGGCAUCCAGAGGAGACUGGCUGGCCCCUCCUUCACCUUGGAUGUAGUGCUGUUUCUAGGAUCUCUUUUCAAUCAGCAAAACAGGGGAUGUUCCAAGAGGGUGUGGAUUCCCUGCCAUCCCACAUGGUCAAGUGGAGGGGACGGGAAAAAGCUAUGAAGGGUUUGUGACCACACAGACUCUCCUGGCCCCCUGUCCUUUUGGAAAGAAGACAGGGAUGAAAUAUAAUCAAGCAAUUAACCACCCCCAUCAUCACCAAGAACAACAGUAUCAACAAGAAGAACAGGGACAACAAAACCCACGGAUGAAACAUUCCUUUCUCAGCUCAGAUCUUAUCUGGUGCGUUCUCUCUCUGCUCUGUCUUGGUGUGUGGUUUAGAGAAACAUGGACAACGCUGUUUGGAAGAACAGGUGAGCGAGGGUGGGGAAUUUCAGAGGCCUGGGCCCACCGCCUCCACCCCUUCCCCAGUUUAACCUUUGACAGGAUCUUCACCUCUCUCUGAUCAGCAUUGCUUCUUGUUCAAAGGCCUCAGCCACCCAGCUGUGUCCCUUUCCCCAGAAAGCAAGGGCAGAUGGCAGUGGGUCUGUUGAUGAGAGAACUUUAAGGGCCCAAUCAGUCCCUGGGCACCCCCUCCUGGGCUCGUUUUCUCCAGGAGGCUGCAUUCUGAUCCAUAAACCUUCUCCUCGGGGUUUAGGGUCGAGCUGUUCCUGAUGUUUAUCGGAGACUGGGAUCAAAGCUAUCCAGGUCAUAAAUCUCUCUCUGUGGCUGUUGGGCCCCAGGGCAGCUGAAGAGGGUUGACAGCCCUUUGGACCUCAAAGGAAAAAAUGUGCUCUACUCCACCCACUCCCAGCUCUGCCAAGAAGCUGUCCUCUGAGAAGCCAUGGCUGGGCCGUUCCAUUCUGGGGAGCUGCUGAAAAGAGCUGGGAGGCCGAGAAGAACUUGCGUGUGCUGGGGGAGAGGAAGCCUGGCCUUGAGGGAGGGGUGCAGGUGUGGCUCCUCUGUGUGUGGGGGCUGGGGGACCUUGUGUGCCUUUUCCUUGUGGCUGUGAAAUGCUUUAUGAGUACUUCCAUAGGAGGAUGGACAGGGAGUCGGGGAGAUAAACUCAGCCACAAGGCCCCAGGGCCUCAGGAAACUUGCACCCAACCCUCUCAUUUUACAGAAGAAAACUGUGCCUGGAAGGUUGAAGGGUUUGUUCCCAGUCACACAACCAGGGAUCCUUAGGACAGCCAGACCAGGAAACCAUUUCCAAACUGCCAAGCCAUGGCAGAGUAUCAAGACCUCAGGAACCAUCGAGACACCAUGGAAGCAUUGGGAAAAGCCUCCUUAGCUUUUGAAGCUCCUCAUUGUUCUUGAGUGUGCAUGGAGCCCAUGACUGCGGGGUUUUGUAGACACCUCAGGGAUUACAUGACUGGUACCCCUGACAAAGUCAAGGCUGCUGGACAAAAUGAGUCCGAGGAUUUCAGGGGCAGCUGGGCGCAGGAGCUGGUGGGCUGUUGGGAGUGCCCCUUUACUGGGCAGGCUUCCUUCCUCCUGGUGAUGGGGGGUUCCUCAGCACAAAAGUGAAGGGGUGGAGGGGCUGGAGGAGCAGGAAUCUCUCUUGUUGAUAGGUAUGAGGCCUUGAAGUCCUUUUCUUUGUCCCAGGAUUCAUGGACGCUUCGGGGCUGAUCUUUGAGUUUUCAAGCAUGGGGUGCAGAGACGUUUAGGUAAACUCUUACCGUCCUCUCUCUUCGUCAGGGCUUCCCAGGAAUCAACAAUGCCCAAGAAGGAAGGGAUUGUAGAAAUAGCUUAACCCUUUCAUUUACCAACGUGGAAAUUGAAGCCCAGGGAAGGGAAGGGACCGGUCGUGGAAGGGAGAGCCAUCAGCAGAAAGAGACCCUGAGAUCUUCGCCUGGGAUUCCCAGGAAGUCCAGCCCGAGCUGAUUCACAGAACAAAUGCAUGCAAACCUUGCUAUCAAUAAAUUACACAUGCACUUACGUAAAACACAUAAAAA
rnacentral:lncRNA from 10 species